GGUGAGGUAACGGCCCACCAAGGCAAUGAUGGGUAGCCGGCCUGAGAGGGUGAACGGCCACAAGGGGACUGAGACACGGCCCUUACUCCUACGGGAGGCAGCAGUGGGGAAUAUUGGACAAUGGACCGCAAGUCUGAUCCAGCAAUUCUGUGUGCACGAUGACGUUUUUCGGAAUGUAAAGUGCUUUCAGUCGGGAAGAAGUCAGUGACGGUACCGACAGAAGAAGCGACGGCUAAAUACGUGCCAGCAGCCGCG
rnacentral:rRNA from 1 species